GUGGUUGUGGCUCAGUGGUAGAGCGCUUGCCUAGCAUAUAUGAUGUACUGGGUUCGAUUCUCAGCACCGCA
rnacentral:tRNA from 1 species